AGAGUUUGAUCCUGGCUCAGGAUGAACGCUAGCGGCAGGCUUAACACAUGCAAGUCGAGGGGCAGCGGGGAGGAAGCUUGCUUUCUCCGCCGGCGACCGGCGCACGGGUGAGUAACACGUAUGCAACCUGCCCCUGUCAGGGGGACAACCCGCCGAAAGGCGGGCUAAACCCGCGUACAUGCCACCGGGGCAUCCCGGAGGCAGGAAAGGCUUCGGCCGGACAGGGAUGGGCAUGCGGCGCAUUAGGCAGUAGGCGGGGUAACGGCCCACCUAACCGACGAUGCGUAGGGGUUCUGAGAGGAAGGUCCCCCACACUGGUACUGAGACACGGACCAGACUCCUACGGGAGGCAGCAGUGAGGAAUAUUGGUCAAUGGUCGGGAGACUGAACCAGCCAAGCCGCGUGAGGGAGGAAGGUACAGAGUAUCGUAAACCUCUUUUGUCAGGGAACAAAGGCGGGGACGUGUCCCCGGAUGAGUGUACCUGAAGAAAAAGCAUCGGCUAACUCCGUGCCAGCAGCCGCGGUAAUACGGAGGAUGCGAGCGUUAUCCGGAUUUAUUGGGUUUAAAGGGUGCGCAGGCGGUCUGUUAAGUCAGCGGUCAAAGCCCGGGGCUCAACCCCGGCCCGCCGUUGAAACUGGCAGUCUCGAGUUGGAGAGAAGUAUGCGGAAUGCGCGGUGUAGCGGUGAAAUGCAUAGAUAUCGCGCAGAACUCCGAUUGCGAAGGCAGCAUGCCGGCUCCACACUGACGCUGAGGCACGAAAGCGUGGGUAUCGAACAGGAUUAGAUACCCUGGUAGUCCACGCAGUAAACGAUGAAUGCUGGCUGUCCGGGGGGACUGACCCCUGGGUGGCGAAGCGAAAGCGAUAAGCAUUCCACCUGGGGAGUACGCCGGCAACGGUGAAACUCUAAGGAAUUGACGGGGGCCCGCACAAGCGGAGGAACAUGUGGUUUAAUUCGAUGAUACGCGAGGAACCUUACCCGGGCUCAAACGGGGAGUGGCGCAGGCAGAGACGCCUGUUUCCCACGGGACACUCCCCGAGGUGCUGCAUGGUUGUCGUCAGCUCGUGCCGUGAGGUGUCGGCUUAAGUGCCAUAACGAGCGCAACCCCCGCGUGCAGUUGCUAACAGUCAACGCUGAGGACUCUGCACGGACUGCCGGCGCAAGCCGCGAGGAAGGCGGGGAUGACGUCAAAUCAGCACGGCCCUUACGUCCGGGGCGACACACGUGUUACAAUGGGUGGUACAGCGGGAAGCCAGGCGGCGACGCCGAGCGGAACCCGAAAUCCACUCUCAGUUCGGAUCGGAGUCUGCAACCCGACUCCGUGAAGCUGGAUUCGCUAGUAAUCGCGCAUCAGCCAUGGCGCGGUGAAUACGUUCCCGGGCCUUGCACACACCGCCCGUCAAG
rnacentral:rRNA from 1 species